rnacentral:rRNA from 1 species
CUACGGGCGGCUGCAGUGAGGAAUAUUGCGCAAUGGGGGAAACCCUGACGCAGCGAUGCCGCGUGGAUGAUGAAGGCCUUAGGGUCGUAAAAUCCUGUCAGGUGGGAAGAAGUGGAUAUAGAUUAAUACUCUAUUUCUUUGACGGUACCACCAAAGGAAGCACCGGCUAACUCCGUGCCAGCAGCCGCGGUAAUACGGAGGGUGCAAACGUUGUUCGGAAUUACUGGGCGUAAAGCGCGCGUAGGCGGUUUGUUAAGUCAGAUGUGAAAGUCCAUGGCUCAACUAGGGAAGUGCAUUUGAAACUGGCAGACUUGAGUACUGGAGGGGGUGAUGGAAUUCCCGGUGUAGAGGUGAAAUUCGUAGAUAUCGGGAGGAAUACCGGUGGCGAAGGCGAUCACCUGGCCAGAUACUGACGCUGAGGUGCGAAAGCGUGGGGAGCAAACAGGAUUAGAUACCCGAGUAGUC